rnacentral:rRNA from 1 species
AUUGAACGCUGGCGGCAGGCUUAACACAUGCAAGUCGAGCGAGCGGCGGACGGGUGAGUAAUGUCUGGGAAACUGCCUGAUGGAGGGGGAUAACUACUGGAAACGGUAGCUAAUACCGCAUACAAUCAGAUGUGUCCAGAUGGGAUUAGCUAGUAGGUGGGGUAAUGGCUCACCUAGGCGACGAUCCCUAGCUGGUCUGAGAGGCUGACCAGCAACACUGGAACUGUGACACGGUCCAGACUCCUACGGGGGGCAGCAUGGGGGAAUAUUGCACAAUGGGCGCAAGCCUGAUGCAGCCAUGCCGCGUGUAUGAAGAAGGCCUUCGGGUUGUAAAGUACUUUCAGCGAGGAGGCGUUACUCGCAGAAGAAGCACCGGCUAACUCCGUACCAGCAGCCGCGGUAAUUC